rnacentral:ncRNA from 1 species
UGACGGGGUGCUGAUUCGCCUGAACCAGGUGAUCGGCUGAGAUUGCAGCGCAGAACCCGCGACCUGAUCCGGAUAAUACCGGCGUAGGGAUUAA